AUGGAGGAGGCGCUGAACACGGUGUACAGGCAGAGCAGGGUGGUGGACGGCUCCAUCGGGCCGCUCGAGAUCCGGGUCGUCCGGGCCAGCACGUUCGAGGAGCUCAUGGACUACGCCGUCUCCCGGGGCGCCAGCAUCAACCAGUACAAGGCGCCCCGGUGCGUGACGUUCCCGCCGAUCAUCGAGCUGCUGGACUCGCGCGUGGUGUCCAGCCACUUCAGCCCCGCGCUGCCGCACUGGACCCCGGCCCGGCGCUCCGUCUAG
rnacentral:rRNA from 1 species